UUAAUGGGAUAGUAGUUGGAAUAUAUACAUUGGGCGCGUUUGGUUCGAAGUUGGAAUCGAAAUCAGAAUCGAAAUCGAAAUCGAAAUAAGUUGGGAUCGGAAUCGGAAUCGGAAUGACUCAUUACUAAAUUAUGUUUGAUUCGUUACCUGAAUCGGAAUCGGAAUAAAUCAUUUUCAUUGUCGGUGUUUUGUUCAGGUAGAUAUAAAAAGCGUGAUCAAAUUAAUAUACUAACUUUAUCUUUAUAAUAUAUUAAUUUAAAUUCAAAUUUAAAAUUAAAUAUUAAAAAUUUAGAUCAAAAUUUUGAUAUAAUGUCAAAAUUUUAAAUCUAUCUUUUUUUAAAAAAAAUUAAACUUUGAAGUUGAGUGGAUAAUUCAAAAUAUAAAACUAAAUUUCGAUUUAUUCAAAUUCAAACUUAAAAUUACAAUUUAAAUUUUAAUUUAAAUACAUAAAUUUAAUUUAAGUUUUAAAUAAAAUUUGAAUAAAACUUUAUAUAAAUUAAAAUUUAAUUUGAAUUCAAAUUUAUAAGUUAGAUUCAAAAUACUUGAUUAAAUUUUAAUUUUUAAUUCAAAUUCAAAUUCAAAUUUAAAAUUAUAAAUUUAAUUUCUAAAUUUAAACUCAUAUUUUAAUUAAAAAAAGUUGAAAAAAUAAAUUUAAUCCGAAUAAAUAUUCAUUCCGUCCGGACUCAACUUCCAAUCCAGUCUGCGAAGCCGGAUUAGAAAAAAAGGUGAUUGGGGAUUCCCAUUCCACUCGGGAAUCGGAAUCGGAAUGGGACCCCCUCGUACCAAACACCCACAAAGAGAUUCGCCAAUUCCGAUUCCGAUUCCGGGGCGCAAAAAAAACGAACCAAACACGCCCAUAGAGUCCGGCUACUAUACUCUUACGAGUACGAUCGCCCUCGUACUCAUAAAUCGUUUUCGAUGAAAGAGCUUCCAAAUCAACGGUCCAUACCGUUAAAUAUUAUCUAGAGCAUUUAAAACUUCUAGAAAUCAAAUUUUAUAAUUUUUCGACAUCAUUUACCUUGCAAUCAAAAGGUUACAAAAUUAACAAUUUUUAACAGCCAGUAUGAAAUACUUGCUAAUUUAACGGUGUAAAAGAAUCAGAAUCGGUUGAAUUUUUGAUAGAAAAUUCUAUUCACUACUUAGAUAAAAAUCAAUAAUUUCAAUCUUAAAUUGAAGGAUCUAAUUAUCCAUUUUUAGGACGUCGUUCAAUUUUGAUCGUUCAUUUUAUACCCGCUUAACGAACUUUAUUAUGAUUUUGAAAAACUACGAAAUUUAUUUUUUAAAAGUUUCAAAUACUCUAAAUCAUAUUUAAUGGAGUGGAUCGUUGAUUCAGAACCUCCAUCAUCGAAAACAACUUGUGAGUAAGAAGGACUCUAUACUUAUAAGAGUAUAGUAGCCUACUCUAUAUACAUAUAUGUGAUGUUUCACAGAAUCUUGCUUUUAGAUGAAAGUGCAAAGGUAGAUUAAAUGAAGGCUCAAUGUUUAUUG
rnacentral:lncRNA from 1 species